AUCACAGACUUUACUUCUCAAAAUCUUACUCCAAAACCCAUUCUCUUCACCAAUCUCCUCUCCUUAGAGCUGUAACCUUAAACUCUCCAUUUUCCUCCUUGGCUAUCGCUUCUCUUAACUCUCAGCCUCCCCUUCUCUUUCCCACAACCCAUUUUCUCAAUGCAAGAACCUGCAGAUUGGACUAUAAAAUGGGAGAAUCAGGCCUUGCCCGUCUACAAACCCAGGUUGUGUUCAACAAAUCCGCAAUCUUCAUCAUUUGCAUUCCCAUGGAGGAUUCCAGAGAAUGUAAUCCAGAAGUUGCAGGAAGCAAUCCUGAAAAUGUAGAAAAAUGCCAAGAUUCAAGUCAUUGAAGAUACCCCAAAUGGCAAUCAACACCAUAUAUGUGCAACCAUAGUAAUUAUGUAACAAAAUUUGAAAGACUUUGAACACCAUGAACGAUUGCUUUACACUAGGAGAAAGAAGAGGAUACGAGACAUACAAAAACAAGUUUAGGCCUUUAAUAUACUUCAUUAUGAAAAUUAGAUGUGAAUGUGAAUGUGAAUGUGAGAAUAGGUACAUUGAUUGAUGCUCAUUUUAAUUUAUACAAGUAAUUUCUUUGGUCUUUCAAGCCAAUAUUUACAAGCUGAGGUUGAUUGAGGGUUUGACCGCGAUGUGCUUUAGUUUUUGGUAGAAGGAGAUGUAGUUGCUAAUAGAUCUAUGGCUACAAAAGUAACCUAUGUAUACCCUUUCACAACAGCCUUGGGGGAUUCAGAAGGACAGGAAGAAAGAGUGUAGAAAAUCUUGGACGAAUUAGGCUGGUAUGUUCGAAGUUUUUAUUCCAUGGAUUAGAUUUAUA